CAGAUGCAUCAAUUUCACUCUAUCAAAAUGCAUUACUGCCAGUGUAAAGAACAUAGAAUAUCUAUUCAUUCUGUGACUGCAAAUGUAAGAAAAACAAACCAGGGGAUUCUGGGAAUACACAGUGGAGAGGACUGGGGGCAGGGCAGGAGGGAGAUGCUGUUGCCACAGCCUGGUGUAGCCUUGCAGUGUUGUACAGCAUAGACCCAGCAGCAAACACUAACUAACCUGACCCUCCCUCAAGAAAUACAGCCAGCAUCAAACGAGGGACUGACUGACGCAGGUGGACAGCAAUUUGUCAUAUAACUUACAAUUGUAGCACUGGCGUAUGCAUCUUGUUUUGUGAACUGGAGAGGCCUGGGAGAGAAGGGGAAUGAGCGUGGCAGAAGAGGGACACAGGAGGAAGGCAGCUGUAAUGAAAGGAUGAACAAAGACAGCUAGAGGAGAGAGAAUGGACUUCUGAACAAUCCGCCUUAUGAAAGCCAGGGAGACAUGUCCUGUAACUUCCUAAAAACAGGAAAUCCAUAGCUCUGCAUUCCUGACCAGUUUGAUGCUUUACUGUACUGACGGGUCUUAGCCCUAAAGCUGGCUUUGUGUUAGCUGCAAUCAAGGAAAAAAAAAAUGGAGACUUUUAGUGAAAGUGUAUUCAGAUUUUCAUUAUGAAAGAUUGUCCCUGGUACUGUACAACGCAGCACAAUGCAGCCCAUAAAGCCCUGGAAAUUUUGAAUUGGUCUAGAGUGUUAAAUGGAAGAGUCAUCGAGUCAGCCUGAAGUCAUCUGUUCAUUUUCAUAGUCUGUUUUAUUGACACUGAUAAAGUUGUGCCUUCAAUGAUUACAUCACAAUGCUGGGAUACUAAUGGACCUCUACAGUGCAUUCAGAAA